CCUACGGGAGGCAGCAGUGGGGAAUAUUGCACAAUGGGGGAAACCCUGAUGCAGCGACGCCGCGUGAGUGAAGAAGUAUUUCGGUACGUAAAGCUCUAUCAGCAGGGAAGAAAAAAAGUCCUUUGGACUUUGGACGGUACCUGACCAAGAAGCCCCGGCUAACUACGUGCCAGCAGCCGCGGUAAUACGUAGGGGGCAAGCGUUAUCCGGAUUUACUGGGUGUAAAGGGAGCGCAGGCGGCGCGCCAAGUCUGAUGUGAAACCCCGGGGCUCAACCCCGGGCAUGCAUUGGAAACUGGCGGGCUG
rnacentral:rRNA from 1 species